CACCAGCCUACAAACAAAGGAAUAAAAUAAGUUAUGGAUAAUAAUAUAGUCAGUUCCAAAUUUAUUUUCGUAAAUAUAAUAGUGAGAUUUUUCUGUCGUUAAUACAAUUGCCAUUUAUUACUGACUAGCUGAGCCGGCAGACUUCGUAUUGCCUCAAUCGAUAAAUAAAAGACCUAAACUUUUGUAUAAAAUAAACUUAAAACAAACAAAAGGAAUUUUGAUAUUUAUCUACCUUUUAAACCUUCUCUGGACUUCUAGAAAUAAUUCAAGACUAAAAUUAGCCAAAUCGGUCCAGCCGUUCUCGAGUUUUAGCGAGACUAACGAACAUCAAUUCAUUUUUAUAUAUAUAGAUUUAUGCCUAAAAAAUUGAGAAGAUAACUUCUGAAUAUAUUUCAUGUUACGUAAUACAGCAAAAUCUGUAGAUGUUUACUUUAUUACUGUGCCGAAACAUGUUUGUAACGUUUUGAGAUUUUGUUUUACAGUUCAUUCAACUUUCAAAUUAGUUAGAUAAGAGAGAACCAAUGAACGUUAAUUGGCAGUUGUAAUUUUAAUUAUAAAUAAUUCUUAAUUCAAUGAGAAUCUGCUUCAACGGUAACAUUAGGGUGGAGUUAAUUUCCAGUUGAGUGAACCAGAUGAGGAUUAUUUCUUGAAAAAUACUCUGAAUGCCGAUAGAUGAACCAACACAACGUACUGCCAACACACUGCCUACCACCUAAAAACAUUAAGUCCAAGUUUUGAUUAAAUAAACCCUCAGACUUCAUGAAGUGAUUGGAUCACAACGUACUUGUGUACAACGUAGUUAGUCAUUUGUAGCUAUCAGAGAAAAUAAGAAAUUCGCAAUAACAUUAAUCGUGUUAACGACUUUUGUAAGAUAAGCUUUUUUAAUUAUUUAUUGCCGCUAUAGGCAGACGAGCAUACGGCUCAUCUGAUGGUGAAUGGUUACCGUCACCCAUGGACUUCAGCAAUGCCAGGGGCAGAGCUAAGCCGCUGCCUACAAUUAAAUACUCUCCACAACCCUCAUUUAAAGAAGAACAUAGCGCUCGGGGAGCACCGCGGAGAGGAGCUCAUUUUAAAGCCGGAUGGUACGUGGCAAAAAAUAUCUCUAGAAACACGCUGUGGAUGAACGCAGUGGCUCCAGGUAGUAUGGCUGAACUCUACUCCGGUGGCGGGUGGUGCGAUGGUAAAAACGAGAUGAUGGAAUCAUCUCAAAAAAUUUCUCAGAUCGCUCCCCAUGGAACAUACGGUAUAGAAUACAGAGAGAAGCAGUCUAUCCGAUGAUUUGCAAGCGAAGUAAAAUGUCCUUUAGAAAUAAGGUGACACUCUACAAAACUUGCAUACGCCCCGUCAUGACCUAUGCAAUUGUAGUGUUUACUCACGCGGCGCGCACCAACUUGAAACCCCUUCAAAUAAUGCAAUCCCGUUUUUGCAGGAUAGCCGCCGGAGCCCCAUGGUACAUCCGAAACGUGGACGACGACAUGGAUUUGCAGUCCAUCAUUAAGGGUUCUACAGUCGCCAUCAGUGCGUCAUUUCGCGAAAGCGGCACGACACGAGAACCCUCUCAUCGUGGCCGCAAUCAAGUUCAAUUCACCCCACUCGGAGACUCGGUCCAGAGAGCUCUCCACUUCGGACACAAGUUUUGAUCGUCUCUCUUGCACCACGCUCUGACAGAGACCCUGAUGGCCGAUAUAUUAUGUGCAAUCUCCAAGAGCUCAAACAAUCGGUCAACCAAUUGGAAGACCUUUCGCUUAAUAUUUGGCUGUAGUAAUCAAGAUUAGAAUUAGGAAAAAAUCUGGAAAAAGCUAAGCUUAGGUAAAUAACAAAGUGAGGAGACUACUGAAGGGUGGUUGUAGCGCAUUCUAGUUGAUUCUUUAUAAAUCUAAUAUUUAUAGAACAAACAUAUCAUUUUUAAUAUUGAAUUUAACUGUAUUUAAUUAUGUAUGUAAUUAUAUGUAAUUAUGUAUGUAUGUAAUUAUAUGCCCAAUAUAGUAAAAGCUGAUAGUAGUCCCGUGAAUAUAUGAUAUUCUGAUUGAUAGCUGACCGUAUCGUUUCGUGUAAGAUCGACUGGGCUAGUCUAUGAAAUCUUCUAAUCUAUGCGAGACAACCUGCUUUCGUAAAAUAAAUACUACAUAUUUACUCGAAUAGGCAUAUAAGAGAAGAAGUUAAAACAGUACUCACACUGUGACUUGCCAGCUCGCUGAGCGAAGUAUAGCUUGGUGGGUGAAUCAACAUCUUGAGCAAUGGACACAACUGACUACAGUAGCACAGAGCGAUAGCGGACUGCGAUAUCAUGCCCGCUAGAAGCGUUUAUAUACUGCACAUAGAUAGUACAGGUGCGAGUUACGGUCUAAUGGAAAUGUUGCUAUUUUAGUAACUAUUCAUUUUCCAGUACUUAUUUGUAAAUAAAAACUUUUUGCACUUAAACUGAACACGAUUUGUAAACAGUAUUUAUAAAUAUUGAAUAAAUUUUCUAGUUGUCAUGCAAGGGUUCCGCGAUAUCAUUAUAAUUGUAUUUUUACUAUAAAUAUUAAACUAGUUCGCGUACCACAAAUUGGAAUAGAUUUAAAAUUAAUCGAACUCACAUACAAGUGUUUAUAUUUAUUUAUUAAGUUGCACCUACAAAGUGAUCAUCAAUACAAAACAUUGAACAAUUGACAAAAGUUCAUGGCAGAUGUCACCUCAAUUAUAGGUGCAAUCGACAGUGCAUUAACAACAAAAAUAAAAAUAUAACUAAGAUUUGAUUACAUUUGAUUGCUUAAGAUUAAUUUAUAUUUAACUGGGAAAUGAUCCGCGAUUUAUAGAAGAUGAAGUAAUAAAAGGUGUGUAACAAAUAACUGAUAACUUCAAACUAAAAGGUUGGAAUUCUGCGUGACUCAAAUUUAAGGGAUGGUAAAACCAAACCAACUGGAUUUACAACAGAAACAACUAUAUGUACUCAACUGCGGGUAAGUACCUAAAGUACAGUUCUGCUGAACAGUGGUUGAAGUCUUCUGAUCAACAGCUGUGCAGGCCAUUGUCAAACUUCAUCUGUUGACCGUACAGGUGUUUUCAUUACUACUGUUCAUAAUUUCACGCUAUAGACCGAGCCAAUCUUCCAAGUACUACAAGAAAUCAAAAUCGAAAAGGUACUUAAGAUGCUCAAUCUGAGCCCUUGUACAUAAAAGUAAGUAAAUUAUACCAGCCCUACUGCCAAGGCUAAAAAUGGUAAACGUAAAGGGUAAGAUCACAAUGAAGAAGCCCCGUUUGUUCAAACCAAUUUCAUUAUCAAUAUCGUAGAAGCCAUGCAUCUCGCAGAGAGCCGACACAGAUGAAAGAGACAAAACCUUCCUCAACGUAGUAAAACAAAAGACACCGCAGCUAGCAAUUAAAACAUACACACUUUAUAUAUGAAGAAUAUAGUCGUAUACAAGUAGCCUUUGAAGAUGUACUGAAUAAGUUGUAUUAUGUUUUGAUAUAAAUACGAUUCGAAUUUCAUCAACAUCCGAUAAACUACAGUUUGUCCGUAUAAUGUACGGCUGGCAGUUGGAACGUGACUCGAGAAGAAUCAGAAAGCUUAAGAGAGAAGCACUCUCCUCGAUAACAAAGAAAUCUGGGCUUGGUUCCUGCAGCGGGCUGUCCAGAAUAUUUAAUUGACGACGCAGCAAAUGUAUGUUGCAAGUACUAGGGCAGCCAAUAUAGGAUUGUAACUUCGAUUCACUUCUAAAUGUACGUAAGGAUAACCCCGUGACGUCUAUGGAGUAUGGAAGCAACUCCCAUUAGAUGGACUCGUAUGCCAAUCUACAGCAAUAAAAAAGGUAAUAUUUUUAUUGGUUAGAUGGAUGGCCUAGCUCGCGGCCGGUGUUAUCAGAGCCCAUGAUCAACAACGUAAUUGCCGCAAGCUUGAGGCAGUCUCAGUGCUAUAGUUCAACGGCUAACCCACCCUUCAAACCAAAGCGUGUUACUGCUUCACGGCAGAAAUAGGAGGGGCGGUGGUACCUACCCGUGCGGACUCACAAGACGGCCUACCACCAGUAAGAAGCCGUUGUAACUAUACCUGAGACCUUAGAACUCAUAUCCCAAGGUGGGUGGUGGCAUUUAUGUUGUAAAUCACUAUGGGCUCCGGUAACUACUUAACACCAGGUGGGCUGUGAGCUCGUCCACACAUCUACGCAAUAAGUAAAUAAAUAAAAAAGUCAAAUCUUACAAAAUUUCUUCUCGUUUAUUUCAUCUACAAUUUAAGAACCUUCAAACAUAUAAUUAUAGACAGAUAAUAUUUAUAAUAAUAUAUCCAUGUACAGACAAUUAAAUGUGAUUUUUUUUUCCGUAACAUCCGAUAUUCACUCACCGAGCGAGUGAUCUCGUGAGGUUAAUUAAUACAAAUGACCUGAUGAAUUUGUUAAGCAUUUAUGGGACGUUCAACCGUUUGUUUAUACAUUAAUAUGUAUGUAUAUAUGAGUAGUGAUAACGAUAUUAAGAAUCAUUGAAAUCAAACUACGUCGCUUAAAUAACAAUACCGUGCAAGUGAAAUAGGUUUUUUAGCUAAAAACUAAACAAAUUUGACUUACGGGGAUCGUCAGCUAAGCUACGGCUUAUGUUCAGUGUUUGCGCUGCGUGUAUCCUAUUGAUUUGAAACUUUAUACAUUUGCUGUUGUUUCUACCAGGUCAUUUACCUCACGAGAGCGUGGUAUAGGAUAUUUGUUGUUUUGUCACAGCAUUCAUAGCUUUAUAUGUUUUGUCUUCCAGCCCUAAAUACCUGUGGGCUAUUUGCUUACUUAUGGUCUCCACUAGGCAUAAUUGACCUAGCUUGAAGAUCGUUAAUGUUAUGUCAUCCUUUGACAAUUUUUUUUGAUUGGACUUCUAUCAAAUGUAAAUUAAUAAUUUUAGAGAUUAAUUAAAUAAUUAUAUCAUAAUCACUAAAAAUUAUAUAUCAUUUUAAACUCAUUCUCAUCCACACCAUCUAAAAAAACUCAUUACUGAUACUAGAACUCAUCAGUGACUAAAAAACAAAAGUGAGAAAAUUAGUUGAUAAACAGAAGAUUUUUUUUAAUUAAUUGUUAUACCUUUGUUUAUUAUCAAUCAAUAGAACGCAAGAAUUAUGGCUUAUGGAGAAAUAUUAAAAACUAUAAAUUACCCAUAUAUUUGAUCUAGAUCAGCUGUAUAAAUAAAUUACAUUACUUAGAUUAUACCAAAACAUGAUAAAACAUGAAGACUAGUAGGUACAGAAGCGCAUCGUACUGUAUAUCUCUCUAAGAAACUGGAACACCUUUACGAUCCUGUUAAAAAGGCUUAAGAACAAUUACAACAAUAUACUUUAUUACAAUAAAAUUGAGAUUUCAGACUUAUGCAUCUGUAUAUUAGUUAUAACAGUCAAGUUUGUACUUUAAAGAACCUAAAUUAAAUAAACUGUCUAAGAAUAUA